GUAGAAAAGUCUCAAAAAGCCUUCAUGCUCUCAAGAAACCAAGCCUAUUGUUUUCUCAAGUGUAAAUUUAUGGUGGACCCUCCAGGAGCAGAGAAUCCCUUCACCAUUCUGCCUGGGAAACAGGACCAGUCACCAAGUGACUCAAUAAAAUAGCACACGCAAGGAAAAGGAAAAACUAUUUCCUGCAACAAGCAAAGUCGUCCUUUAAUAGUGUUCCAGGACCAAGACAGCCUGUUGUCCCCUGACACCUCUUUAAGCACCGGAGCACUGUAUCUGCAGUUCAAUCCAUUUUGCAUUAUCUCCUAAAGACUCCUACCAGGAAUCGGUCUUUCUGGAUUACACACCACUAUUUAUUUAUUCUCUUUAUUUCAGACAAUCUGCAGUUCAAGUUCACUUACCUGAAAUCCCCAAACUGAAUACUGUAUACACACAAGGGUAGCUAGCAGAAUUUUGUGUGCUACAUUCGUUCAAUAUCUAAAAUAAAAUGUGGCCCCUGAACUGUUUUUAAUAAGGCAAAUUAAAUCGAUUGUAUAUGAAGAAACAAUCCCAGAUGACGCAGAUUAAAGCAAAAGUAAGGCCACUU